rnacentral:rRNA from 1 species
UAGCGUAUAUUAAAGUUGUUGCAGUUAAAAAGCUCGUAGUCGGAUUUCGGGGCGGGCCGACCGGUCUGCCGAUGGGUAUGCACUGGUCGGCGCGUCUCUUCUUCCGGAGACCGCGCCUACUCUUAACUGAGCGGGCGCGGGAGACGGAUCGUUUACUUUGAAAAAAUCAGAGUGCUUCAAGCAGGCAGCUCGCUCUUGCAUGGAUUAGCAUGGGAUAAUGAAAUAGGACUCUGGUGCUAUUUUGUUGGUUUCGAACACCGGAGUAAUGAUUAACAGGGACAGUCAGGGGCACUCGUAUUCCGUCGAGAGAGGUGAAAUUCUCAGACCAAUGGAAGACGAACCACUGCGAAAGCAUUUG